rnacentral:rRNA from 2 species
UCCACGCGUACCCAUCCCGAACACGACCGUUAAGCCCUCCAGCGCCGAUGGUACUUGGACCGAAGGGUCCUGGGAGAGUAGGACGUUGCCAAGC